GACGAACGCUGGCGGCGUGCUUAACACAUGCCAGUCGAACGGAAAGGCCCUGCUUUUGUGGGGUGCUCGAGUGGCGAACGGGUGAGUAACACGUGAGUAACCUGCCCUUGACUUUGGGAUAACUUCAGGAAACUGGGGCUAAUACCGGAUAGGAGCUCCUGCUGCAUGGUGGGGGUUGGAAAGUUUCGGCGGUUGGGGAUGGACUCGCGGCUUAUCAGCUUGUUGGUGGGGUAGUGGCUUACCAAGGCUUUGACGGGUAGCCGGCCUGAGAGGGUGACCGGCCACAUUGGGACUGAGAUACGGCCCAGACUCCUACGGGAGGCAGCAGUGGGGAAUAUUGCACAAUGGGCUGAAGCCUGAUGCAGCAACGCCGCGUGCGGGAUGACGGCCUUCGGGUUGUAAACCGCUUUCGCCUGUGACGAAGCGUGAGUGACGGUAAUGGGUAAAGAAGCACCGGCUAACUACGUG
rnacentral:rRNA from 1 species